rnacentral:lncRNA from 1 species
UAUGUAACACAAACCCCUUGUGACAGAUGUUUAACUAUAUAACAAACAUUCACAGGUACCCCAAUACCUAAAAUAAAAGUUAAAAAACAAAAUCAACAGCAAAAAACAGACCAAGUGUGGAGUCUCACGCCUGUAAUCCAAGAAAUUUGAGAGGCCAAGGCAGGCUGGAAGAUUGAGGCCAGGAGUUUGAGAAGAGGCUGGGCAAAAUGAUGAAACCCUAUCUCUACUAAAAAUACAAAAAAAUAGCUGGCAUACAUGGUGGCAGACGCCUGUAAUUCCAUCUAUUCGGCAAGAACUUACCUGUUUGCAACACUGAAUGCUGAGCUGAAUAGAAGAGAGAAAAAUAAAGGAAAUGCUGGGGAUAACUUGGUUAUUACCACAAAUAAUCACGGUCUACUUUUAAUUAUUUCUUAAUACACUAUGAAAUAUCUGGAGGCUACAAUAUCAAGGACAGAAUAACAGGGACUUUAUUCCCUCCAUCAUGGAACAUAUAAUUCCAUGGAAUACCUAAUUUCAUCAUGGAAUAUAUAUAGUCUACAUAUGAAAUAUAUAAUUCCAUCUCUCUUCCCUCUCUCUUAUUCCUGGAAGGUUACUAAUCCCAUCAUGGAAGCCUCAUCCUCAUGCUUAAUCUAACUCUAAUUGCCUCUCAAACUCCUUACCUCCUAAUAUCAUUACAUUGAGGGGUAAAGAUUAAAUAUAUGAAUUUGGAGGAUGACACAAACUUUUAGUUUGUAAUAGGGAUGGUUUAAAUAGAAUAAAAGGGCAACUAUUCUCAGAAUUCAGAUGUUGCAAUUUUUGUCUACAUGAGUCACAGAAAAAUUGAACAUUACUAGAUAUUCAAGGUUCUCAAUUAUGAUUAAAAUUAUUAAUUGAAGUUUGAUUACUCUUGAUUUUCCUGGCUUUAUGUAACCUCAAUUUAAGCAGAGUAUUUCAAAUCUAUGUUUUAUUAGCUCACAGCUAGAAUAAAAAAUGUAUUUAUACUCUCAA